rnacentral:rRNA from 1 species
GACGAACGCUGGCGGCGUGCUUAACACAUGCAAGUCGAACGGAAAGGCCCUGCUUUUGUGGGUUUCUCGAGUGGCGAACGGGUGAGUAACACGUGAGUAACCUGCCCUUGACUUUCGGAUAUCUUCAGGAAACUGGGGCUCAUACCGGAUAUGAGCUCCUGCUGCAUGUUGUGGGUUGGAAAGUUUCGGCGGUUGGGGAUGUACUCGCGGCUUAUCAGCUUGUUGGUGGGGUAGUGGCUUACCAAGGCUUUGACGGGUAGCCGGCCUGAGAGGGUUACCGGCCACAUGGGGACUGAGAUACGGCCCAGAAUGCUACGGGAGGCAGCAGUGGAGAAUAUUGCAGAAUGGGCGGAAGCCUGAUGCAGAAACGCCGCGAGCGGGAUGACGGCCUUCGGGUGAUAAACCGCUGUCGAAUGUGACGAAGCGGGAGUGACGGUAAUGGGUAAAGAAGCACCGGCUAACUACGUG